UCCUCAGAACUCUCCAGAGAUGCACUGAGCUAAAAUCUUCUUUGAUAACAUCUUUGUAAAGCUGUUCCAUGUCUAGCUUCCAAAGUAUUGUCAAACCCAGAAAACCAUACCUUUAAAACACCAUCUGUGUAUGUCUUCUUGUGUGUUGCAUACAUGUCUUUGUGCCUUGUGAUGAUUGACGACGUUGUGGGAGUUGUGCCAUCUGAAGAUUGACAAAGGAAUUACAAGUUCAGCUGGUGAAGUCAGUAGCAAAGCAAAGACAGAGCUGCCUUCUAGAUUGGGUCUAGGUAGAUUGAGCGUCUGUAAGUGUUUAUGUACUGAUUUCUUAUAGUGGAUUUGUUACCGGCAUAGUGCCCGCAGUUGUUUCCCUUCUCUAAGGGUUUUACUGCGUCAACAGUCUUGGGGUUUGUGUGUGAUGCUUUUGGCUUCUGUGGAUGUGGUUUCGAUUAGGAUCAAAGUUAUUCUGUAAU
rnacentral:lncRNA from 1 species